rnacentral:rRNA from 1 species
UGGGGAAUCUUGGACAAUGGGGGCAACCCUGAUCCAGCCAUGCCGCGUGAGUGAUGAAGGCCUUAGGGUCGUAAAGCUCUUUCGCCUGUGAAGAUAAUGACGGUAGCAGGUAAAGAAACCCCGGCUAACUCCGUGCCAGCAGCCGCGGUAAUACGGAGGGGGUUAGCGUUGUUCGGAAUUACUGGGCGUAAAGCGCACGUAGGCGGACCAGAAAGUUGGGGGUGAAAUCCCGGGGCUCAACCCCGGAACUGCCUCCAAAACUAUUGGUCUAGAGUUCGAGAGAGGUGAGUGGAAUUCCAAGUGUAGAGGUGAAAUUCGUAGAUAUUUGGAGGAACACCAGUGGCGAAGGCGGCUCACUGGCUCGAUACUGACGCUGAGGUGCGAAAAGUGUGGGGAGCAAAACAGGAUUAGAUACCCUGGUAGUCCACACCGUAAAACGAUGAAUGCCAGUCGUCGGGUAGCAUGCUAUUCGGUGACACACCUAACGGAUUAAGCAUUCCGCCUGGGGAGUACGGUCGCAAGAUUAAAACUCAAAUGAAUUG